AUUGAACGCUGGCGGCAGGCUUAACACAUGCAAGUCGAGCGAGCGGCGGACGGGUGAGUCAUGCCUGGGAAACUGCCUGAUGGAGGGGGAUUACUACUGGAAACGGUAGCUAAUAUCGCAUACCAUCGGAUGUGCCCAGAUGGGAUUAGCUAGUAGGUGGGGUAAAGGCUCACCUUGGCGACGAUCCCUAGCUGGUCUGAGAGGAUGACCAGGCACACUGGAACUAAGACACGGUCCAGACUCCUACGUGAGGCAGCAGUGGGGAUGAUUGCCCAAUGGGCGAAAGCCUAGUGAAGCCAUGCCGCGUGUAGUAAGAAGGCCUGCGGGUUGUAAAGUACUUUCAGCGGGGAGGCGUUACCCGCAGAAGAGGCACCGGCUAAGUCCGUACCAGCAGCCGCGGUAAUAC
rnacentral:rRNA from 1 species